GACGAACGCUGGCGGCGUGCUUAACACAUGCAAGUCGAACGGAAAGGCCCCUUUGGGGGUACUCGAGUGGCGCACGGGUGAGUAACACGUGAGUAACCUGCCCUUGACUUCGGGAUAACUUCAGGAAACUGGGGCUAAUACCGGAUAGGAAUCCUUGCUGCAUGGUGGGGGUUGGAAAGCUUCGGCGGUUUUGGAUGGACUCGCGGCUUAUCAGCUUGUUGGUGGGGUAGUGGCUUACCAAGGCUUUGACGGGUAGCCGGCCUGAGAGGGCGACCGGCCACAUUGGGACUGAGAUACGGCCCAGACUCCUACGGGAGGCAGCAGUGGGGAAUAUUGCACAAUGGGCGGAAGCCUGAUGCAGCAACGCCGCGUGAGGGAUGACGGCCUUCGGGUUGUAAACCGCUUUCAGCAGGGGCGAAGCUUGUGGUGACGGUACCUGCAGAAGAAGCACCGGCUAACUACGUG
rnacentral:rRNA from 1 species